rnacentral:lncRNA from 1 species
GGCCGGUGCAGUGGAGGGCUCCGAGCGGGGGGCGGCGGGGACUUGGAGAAGGAGGAGGAGGACUCGACGGACUUCCCCGAAGUGAGAAGAGUACGUGAUGGGAAGUGAGCAAGUUGCGGAUGCUGGACGGCAGAGGGAGAGCCGACAGGGAGCACGACGGCCAGGCACCUGCAGGAAUGGAAUGCGCAUCGGCGUUCACUGGCGUGGAGUGAACUGGGGAAGAAGACAUUUGCCAGACAGGCUCUGGAAGAUAAGAACAAUUCUGAAGAAAUGGCAGAAGACUCACGGGGCAGACAUGAUAAGCAGGCUUGUUUCUUCAAGCUGGAUUUGCCGCAAAGAAUGAAUUGUGUGUGAGCAAAAACUGAAAAGAGCUGCAGUGUCCAGGGAACUUGGGCUUAAAAAUACUAGAACCCUAGAUUUUAUCAGAUCCAUAAGCAAACGAAAUUUAAAAGCAGUUGUGAUAUAAAACAGCAGCUCCUUUAACUUCUGCAAGUGUCACCUUCUUCAGAAGUCGCCUCAAGUCACUUUGCCUCAUUCUUAGAAACCUCAUUAAAAUUCUCCACAAGAUCUGGGACUUGAUCAUAACCUUUAGCUAGUGGUGCUCUUCCAUCCACAGAUUGUCUGGGCAUAGCUUCUGCCAGUCCCCUUAAACUAGUCAGACUCUCUGCCCCAACUGGGUUAGGAUGCUUUGUCUCACGUGGCCUAUAAUGGUGAAGGUAUUUGCUGCCAGAGAUGCCUGAACUUUAGGGUUGUUCAAAUGGAUCCCUGUUCCUUGGUUUGUAAACAUGUUCAUCUCUUCAAUACCAGAGACAUUGCUCACCCCUAACUUCUUUAAGGAGAACUGCAGUUGUUUUUGUUUUGUUUUGUUUUAAUCGUUUGCUAUGCAGUUCUACGAAUCACCUUCUUUCUGCAAACAGUUCUUUUUUCUACCGAUGCACACUUGUGCCCGAAGUUUGGUGAGUUUUUUCCUGGUUCCUGGUUGUUUCAUCUUGUUGGAGGGAAAUAGGGCCACAUGUGGGACUAGGGUUCGUGCUGGGGUUGGAGGGGUCUCAGAGCACACUGGCUGAGAUAAGUCGCGCUCAGACACACACACACACACACACACACACACACAAGACAGCUCAAAUUAGCAGUUUGAAGAAUCAUAACUACUUUCCCACUCCUAGUCAAUAGAGAAAAGGUUUGCCCCCUGCCUUACAUAACACACCCCUUUUAGAUAAAGUGUGUAAACUCCACUAUGUAGAUGGAUCUUUCAUUCUUUUUAGUAAGACUUCCAAGAGUUGAUUCAGAUAAAAUGGCCUUUUCUUCCCAUGAUUUGAAAUAAGUGUUUUUGUUAGUGUUUU